rnacentral:lncRNA from 1 species
AGGCUUUUCAUCGGUGGAGUGGAAGAACAAUAGCAGAGAGAGCUGCCCCCAGUGGAAGGGGAGCUAUCGGAAGCCUUGGAUGCCCAGGAGCUGAGGAGGGAACCAUGCUGUGAUGCCAGUUUUAACCACCUGCCAAGUCUGAAAGUGCUAAUUGAAAACCUGAAGCAAAGGACGUAUUACAAAGAUUUUGGAGAAUGCAUGGAAUAAAGGAAGGACUGAACAAUUAAGCUAUGGGAAGAACUGAAACACAGAAGUUCCAAGACCUCCAGAAGCUGGGGAAUGGAAACAUGCUUUCUAUAGCAUUGCCUAGCGUCGUGCAACUCUGACACUCUCUGUUUCUAUGUAUCUCAAUUCAGGUUUUCCAAUUAUUAGAAGAAUUAAUCUAACUGAACAAACUUGGGUCAGAUAUCUGUAUUUUGAGAGCAUAUAGCUAUGUCCAGGGGACAGAGUAGAAUACAUAGGCUUAUCCUUGGGGUAACUACAUGGAGCUGAGCAACCAUCGCAGUUUGUGU